CACAAUAAAAUACAGGGCUCAGAUAUGAACAAGAAAAAAAGCAAACGCAGCAGCACUGUUUGUGGUCCUUUGGAUCAGUUCUACAUUUAUAUGUUUACUUAGGCACAGUAAAGGGUUCCAGGAUUGGCAAAUAUCAAAAUAAUAAGGAUUAUGGCCCAGAUUUAUCAAACUUUGUGAGGGAAAACUGGAGAGAUUUUUCCCCAGCAACCAAUCACAGCUCAGCUAACGAGCUGUGGUAAAGUGAAAGCUGAGCUGUGAUUGGCUGCUAUGGGAAAAUCACUCCAGGUUUUUCCUUCACAAAGUUUGAUAAAUCUGGGCCUAUUUCUGUUUCUGUUGUGUUAUUUUCUCUUAAGCCUUUAGAACGCCAAAUUGAAUGAUAAAUGGGCAUUAAAUCAUCCAGGCCAGAGUAAGAGGAAGAAAGUGACAGAUCUGGUCUAAGUGACUCAUCAUAUGGGACUGGACUCUCUUCACCCCUGAUGAAGACCUAGUGCAAAAUGCACGUUGGGAUACGGAGGUGCGUAGUUUCUGGCAACACACAUGGCAGGACACUCUGAACUCAGAAUAUCAUUUCAAAACAUAUCUGUGGAAAUAUAGAAUUUAUGGACGUAAAUGUGCUACAAUUAUCAAUAUGUAUAGUAACUAUGUUACCAGGGCAAUUUACUAUUAUUAAAUGAUGUGUCAUUUAGUUACCUGCUUAUACCUCUUAUAUCUUUACAGGGCUACUCUGCCGCUAGACAUCUUAUCCCCUAUUCAAAGGAGAGGGGAUAAGAUGUCUGAUCACAGGGGUUCCGCCGAUGGGGACCCCUGUGAUCUCCCUGCUGCACCCGGCAUUUGUUUAGAGCUUCAGCUGCAACGCCGGAGGUUUGUGACAUCACAGCCGCACCCCGCAUCGCCAGUCAUCCAGCACGGAGCGAAGUUCACUCCAUGCACCGGAUGUCUGGGGUGCCGCAGCUGAGAUCGGAUAGCGGAUAAGAUGUCUUGGGGGUGGAGUACCCCUUUAAACAUAAAAAAAAACUAGUAUUUAAGAAUUCUAAUGUUUAAUAAAAAAAGGCAAGAGUGCAUUCAAAGAUCAUAGAGCUAGAUAGUAAAAUUCUGAAUGGUCACAACCUCCAAUGAAAGUUCUAAGAAAUUGAAAAAUUCUGUCAGUCAUUUCCCUGUCUGGUCAAGAUUCUGUGCAGCUCUAUUUUUAUAAUACAGUAUUAGAAUUACUAUAUUAUUUGCAUAGGGGAGCAAUGUUUGCCUUAUUUUAUUAGAAUUUAUCUGAUUUUAACUGCAUGCAGCCACCACUAGGGUUAAUCUAACUGCAUAUGGAUUUUCACAUCGAGUAGUGGACUCACAGCGAGCUAUAUAUGUAGCCACUAACACAGUGGGGAAUAGUUGAGCCCUACAGUAGUCACAUGAAGACUUGUACCAAAAAUAACAAAGACAAAGUGCUGUAGACCAAUUAUGGUUGUGCAAAUGACACAACAACCUAUGAAGCAUGUAGAAUCAUAUCAGUGGCACAGUCAUACUUGGACUAGGAUUACCGACUGGGAUUUCAGAUUUAAAAAAGGAAUAACAAGACCAGGAACCUGUAAAGCUCUUGUGGGAACAAAAUUAUGGAU